UACGGAGGGUGCAAGCGUUAUCCGGAUUCACUGGGUUUAAAGGGUGCGUAGGCGGGUAAGUAAGUCAGUGGUGAAAUCUCCGGGCUUAACUCGGAAACUGCCGUUGAUACUAUUUAUCUUGAAUAUCAUGGAGGUAAGCGGAAUAUGUCAUGUAGCGGUGAGAUGCUUAGAUAUGACAUAGAACACCGAUAGCGAAGGCAGCUUACUACAUGUUAAUUGACGCUGAGGCACGAAAGCGUGGGGAGCAAACAGG
rnacentral:rRNA from 1 species